UACGGGAGGCAGCAGUGGGGAAUAUUGCACAAUGGAGGAAACUCUGAUGCAGCGACGCCGCGUGAGUGAAGAAGUAUUUCGGUAUGUAAAGCUCUAUCAGCAGGAAAGAAAAUGACGGUACCUGGCUAAGAAGCCCCGGCUAACUACGUGCCAGCAGCCGCGGUAAU
rnacentral:rRNA from 1 species